rnacentral:rRNA from 1 species
CAGUAGCCACGGGAAUACAGAGGGUGCAAGCGUUAAUCGGAAUUACUGGGCGUAAAGCGCGCGUAGGUGGUUUGUUAAGUUGGAUGUGAAAGCCCCGGGCUCAACCUGGGAACUGCAUCCAAAACUGGCAAGCUAGAGUACGGUAGAGGGUGGUGGAAUUUCCUGUGUAGCGGUGAAAUGCGUAGAUAUAGGAAGGAACACCAGUGGCGAAGACGACCACCUGGACUGAUACUGACACUGAGGUGCGAAAGCGUGGGGAGCAAACAGGAUUAGAUACCCGCGUAGUCCCUGUCUCUUAUAC